UGGGGAAUAUUGCACAAUGGGCGCAAGCCUGAUGCAGCCAUGCCGCGUGUAUGAAGAAGGCCUUCGGGUCGUAAAGUACUUUCAGCGGGGAGGAAGGGAGUAAAGUUAAUACCUUUGCUCAUUGACGUUACCCGCAGAAGAAGCACCGGCUAACUCCGUGCCAGCAGCCGCGGUAAUACGGAGGGUGCAAGCGUUAAUCGGAAUUACUGGGCGUAAAGCGCACGCAGGCGGUUUGUUAAGUCAGAUGUGAAAUCCCCGGGCUCAACCUGGGAAGUGCAUCUGAUACUGGCAAGCUUGAGUCUCGUAGAGGGGGGUAGAAUUCCAGGUGUAGCGGUGAAAUGCGUAGAGAUCUGGAGGAAUACCGGUGGCGAAGGCGGCCCCCUGGACGAAGACUGACGCUCAGGUGCGAAAGCGUGGGGAGCAAACAGG
rnacentral:rRNA from 1 species